rnacentral:pre_miRNA from 1 species
GGUCCAGGAAGGAAGGCAAGAUGUUGGCAUAGCUGUUAAAUUGAAAUCCCUGCUAUAUCAACAUAUUGCCAUUUUUCUCU